rnacentral:rRNA from 1 species
GGUUAAGCGACUAAGCGUACACGGUGGAUGCCCUGGCAGUCAGAGGCGAUGAAGGACGUGCUAAUCUGCGAUAAGCGCCGGUAAGGUGAUAUGAACCGUUAUAACCGGCGAUUUCCGAAUGGGGAAACCCAGUGUGACUCGUCACACUAUCAUUAACUGAAUCCAUAGGUUAAUGAGGCGAACCGGGGGAACUGAAACAUCUAAGUACCCCGAGGAAAAGAAAUCAACCGAGAUUCCCCCAGUAGCGGCGAGCGAACGGGGAGGAGCCCAGAGCCUGAAUCAGCAUGUGUGUUAGUGGAAGCGUCUGGAAAGGCGCGCGAUACAGGGUGACAGCCCCGUACACAAAAGCGCAUGUGCUGUGAGCUCGAUGAGUAGGGCGGGACACGUGGUAUCCUGUCUGAAUAUGGGGGGACCAUCCUCCAAGGCUAAAUACUCCUGACUGACCGAUAGUGAACCAGUACCGUGAGGGAAAGGCGAAAAGAACCCCGGCGAGGGGAGUGAAAAAGAACCUGAAACCGUGUACGUACAAGCAGUGGGAGCACCC